UCUGGUGGCGAUAGCGAAGAGGUCACACCCGUUCCCAUACCGAACACGGAAGUUAAGCUCUUUAGCGCCAAUGGUAGUUGGAACUUUGUCCCUGUGAGAGUAGGACGUUGCCAGGC
rnacentral:rRNA from 1 species